rnacentral:rRNA from 1 species
UACGUAGGUGGCAAGCGUUGUCCGGAUUUACUGGGCGUAAAGAGCGCGCAGGCGGUCGAUUAAGUCGAGUGUGAAAGCCCCCGGCUCAACUGGGGAGGGUCACUUGAUACUGAUCGACUUGAAGGCAGAAGAGGGAAGCGGAAUUCCCGGUGUAGUGGUGAAAUGCGUAGAUAUCGGGAGGAACACCAGUGGCGAAGGCGGCUUUCUGGUCUGUUCUUGACGCUGAGGCGCGAAAGCUAGGGUAGCAAACGGG